rnacentral:sRNA from 1 species
GGCUGAUGCCAUGGCACUCUGUAUCAAACAAACAAACAAACAAAAAAAUACAACUAAUUGAUCACAAUCAGUUACAGAUUCCUUUGUGCCUUUUCCACUCCCAUUGCUUCACUUGACCAGCCUAAA